rnacentral:rRNA from 1 species
UACGUAGGGUGCAAGCGUUAAUCGGAAUUACUGGGCGUAAAGCGUGCGCAGGCGGCUUCGCAAGACAGAUGUGAAAUCCCCGGGCUCAACCUGGGAACUGCAUUUGUGACUGCAUGGCUAGAGUACGGUAGAGGGGGAUGGAAUUCCGCGUGUAGCAGUGAAAUGCGUAGAUAUGCGGAGGAACACCGAUGGCGAAGGCAAUCCCCUGGACCUGUACUGACGCUCAUGCACGAAAGCGUGGGGAGCAAACAGG